AUUGAACGCUGGCGGCAUGCCUUACACAUGCAAGUCGAACGGUAACAGGUCUUCGGAUGCUGACGAGUGGCGAACGGGUGAGUAAUACAUCGGAACGUGCCUAGUAGUGGGGGAUAACUACUCGAAAGAGUGGCUAAUACCGCAUGAGAUCUACGGAUGAAAGCAGGGGAUCGCAAGACCUUGUGCUACUAGAGCGGCCGAUGGCAGAUUAGGUAGUUGGUGGGAUAAAAGCUUACCAAGCCGACGAUCUGUAGCUGGUCUGAGAGGACGAUCAGCCACACUGGGACUGCGACACGGACCAGACUCCUACGGGAGGCAGCAGUGGGGAAUUUUGGACAAUGGGCGCAAGCCUGAUCCAGCAAUGCCGCGUGCAGGAUGAAGGCCUUCGGGUUGUAAACUGCUUUUGUACGGAACGAAAAGCCCCGGGUUAAUACCCUGGGGUCAUGACGGUACCGUAAGAAUAAGCACCGGCUAACUACGUGCCAGCCGCCGCGGUAA
rnacentral:rRNA from 1 species